UACGGGGGGAGCAAGCGUUGUUCGGAUUUACUGGGACGUAAAGGGCGCGUAGGCGGCCACUGCAAGUCAGUUGUGAAAUCUCCGGGCUUAACCCGGAAAGGUCAACUGAUACUGCAGGGCUAGAGUGCAGAAGGGGCAACUGGAAUUCUCGGUGUAGCGGUGAAAUGCGUAGAUAUCGAGAGGAACACCUGCGGCGAAGGCGGGUGCUGGGCUGACACUGACGCUGAGGCGCGAAAGCCAGGGGAGCGAACGGG
rnacentral:rRNA from 1 species